rnacentral:lncRNA from 1 species
GACUGGUGGUUAGUUUUUUCGAGAUCUAGUUUUGUAACCACUCUCUGGUGUGGUUGGAGGUGCUUCUCUGGAUUUUUUUUUUUUUUUUCUGGUGCGUGGUGCAGGUUAAACCGGCUAUGAUGUGGUGGGUAAUUCUUUCAUUGAUUCUGGUGUGGUAGCUCUCAGGUGACUCAAUGGUAUUCUAUCAAACUUGUAUCUCCGUCUAUGAUCCGGCUUUGGUCUCUUGUUGUUUCUCUUAGCCUCAGUUUUUAGGUUGUGUUUGUGUGUUGGAGAGUUGAAUGUCUUUGGUAGAUGGAUUAUGUUUAGUCUGUCGGCUUGCUGGGAAGGUGAGCUUUCUUGGGUCAUCGGUUGGAGUUUCUCUACUGUGGUCUUUGGUUUGCAUCUUCUUCUUAGAGACGUCUAGUUUCUGCUGCGUUGUGGUUUCCGGUAUGGUCUUAUCUUUCAGCGUCGAUGGGUCAUUUAAGAUUUCAUUUGGUGAAGCGUCGAUGCUGAGAAUUUUUUAUAUCCCUUGGCUUGCUUCCAGCGAGUUCUCCGGUUUACUUGUUAAGAGGCUGUGGAGCAUGUUCUCAAUCUUGACGGUCUUGGAGUAGUCAAUCGCCAAUCA